CGGCCGGCCCGAGUUGGCGGCAGCGCUGGAGGCCCCGGGCCUGUGACCACAAAGAGGGAGCCGGGGGCCGGACGGGAGUGCGUCGGCGGAGGCUUAGACCCAGGCCAGGCCCUCUCCCCUCAGCCUCCACGCCUGCCCGUCUGCCCCGCCCCCGCCGGCGGCGCCGCGCCCCUCCGCCAACCGCCAGACUAGCGCGGUGCGGGGGCCGCGCGCGAAGACAUCCGGGAGAAGCUGAGGCUGGAGUCGCUCGUGGGGACCGAGCCCGCCGUCUACCCGUGGCCGCUGCCGGUGGUCUACAGUUGCUGGACCGCUACCUGCAUAAGAACCGGGAAGAGUAAGACCAGGAACACACGUGGAAGAAGAAGAAAGAGAUGAUAAAGUAAAGCCUGGUCACCUCCAGG